GGGCUUGUGACUCAGUGGUAGAGUGCUUGCCUAGCAUGUGCAAGGCACUGAGUUCGAUUCUCAGCACCA
rnacentral:tRNA from 1 species